GAUGAACGCUGACAGAAUGCUUAACACAUGCAAGUCAACUUGAAUUUGGGUUUUUAACUUAGGUUUGGGUGGCGGACGGGUGAGUAACGCGUAAAGAACUUGCCUCACAGCUAGGGACAACAUUUGGAAACGAAUGCUAAUACCUAAUAUUAUGAUAAUAGGGCAUCCUAUAAUUAUGAAAGCUAUAAGCGCUGUGAGAGAGCUUUGCGUCCCAUUAGCUAGUUGGGGAGGUAACGGCUCACCAAGGCGAUGAUGGGUAGCCGGCCUGAGAGGGUGAUCGGCCACAGGGGGACUGAGACACGGCCCUUACUCCUACGGGAGGCAGCAGUGGGGAAUAUUGGACAAUGGACCGAGAGUCUGAUCCAGCAAUUCUGUGUGCACAAUGAAGUUUUUCGGAAUGUAAAGUGCUUUCAGUUGGGAAGAAACAAAUGACGGUACCAACAGAAGAAGUGACGGCUAAAUACGU
rnacentral:rRNA from 1 species